GGGAUCUUCAGAGAGAAAAGGUCCUUUUUUUCCUCUUCUCGCUGUUGCUCGUCAUCUCUAUUCGUGGAACCAUUUCUGUGAACGGUCAGCUUGUCAUUGCUUGUGUGCGCUAACUCAAAAAGACCCAGGACAAAGCUUGGAACUUUAGUGUCUCAACCGGAAUAUCUCUGGAGAAAGCAUCCUAAUUCGCCUUUGGAGCAACUGAGGCACUAAUCCUGUGGCAAUGAGCUCUUUUGGUGCAUGGAAGACCUCACUGCUGCUCACUGAAAUUGGAAUGCCAGUAAAUAUACAAGAGACAGGGGAAUGCUCGAGGAAUAAACAUAUGCCUCUCUGAACCAUGGAGAUUGUGACACAUAGACGUACUUUUGCUUGUAAGAUCAUUUUUUUCUUAAAGUUGUCUGGUGAGUACUUUUCUUGAUGUUUUAUAGGUGUCUGAGGAAACUUGACAGUGUGAUAUUACCGGUGAUAAUGGUAGUGGCAAUGAUAAUAAUUAUCCU